GAUGAACGCUGGCGGCGUGCCUAAUACAUGCAAGUCGAGCGAAGCGGGGACGGGUGAGUAACACGUGGAUAACCUCCUAUAAGACUGGGAUAACUUCGGGAAACCGGAGCUAAACCGGAUAUUUAUAGACGGAUCCGCGACGCAUUAGCUAGUUGGUAAGGUAACGGAUUACAAAGGCAACGAUGCGUAGCCGACCUGAGAGGGUGAACGGCCACACUGGAAAGGAGACACGGCCCAGACGCCUGCGGGAGGCAGCAGUAAGGAAUCUUCCGCAAUGGGCGAAAGCCUAACGGAGCAAGGCCGCAUGAGUGAUGAAGGUCUUCGGAUCGUAAAACGCUGUUAUUAGGGAAGCGGUACCUAAUCAGAAAGCCACGGCUAACUACGUGCCAGCCGCCGCGGUAAUAC
rnacentral:rRNA from 1 species